AUACGGAGGGUGCAAGCGUUACUCGGAAUCACUGGGCGUAAAGGACACGUAGGCGGGAAGCCAAGUCUGAUGUGAAAUCCUACAGCUUAACUGUAGAACUGCAUUGGAAACUGGUUACCUAGAGUAUGGGAGGGGGAGAUGGAAUUAGUGGUGUAGGGGUAAAAUCCGUAGAUAUCACUAGGAAUACCUAAAGCGAAGGCGAUCUCCUGGAACAUUACUGACGCUAAGGUGUGAAAGCGUGGGGAGCAAACGGGAUUAGAAACCCCAGUAGUCC
rnacentral:rRNA from 1 species